AUGGGUUUUCUAUAAUUUAAGCGACAAGCAAAAAGAUCGCUGUCAGACGACUGAAGAUAGCAACUAAACUCUCAUAUACUGCGUAUAAUAAUAAACGAUACUCGGAGGAUCCCCCACUCCUCUGCCACUAGGUGAAAAUGAAGCAUCAGAUCCACAAGACUAAUAAUACGUGGACAUAUAUCACGGAAGACUGGACAAUUCCGUUAGCACGGAGGUUGGAGCUCAACGAGGUAUAACGUUACACGAUGCUUACACGGCCCCAAGAGCCCGAGUCUACUAUUUUGUGCGCUAGUAGAACUGUGAAAAUGCCUUUUUACGAAGCAACCGAGCAUAUGCGCCAUCGUAGCUCGACCAUACGCUGUCACAGCCCUAUGGACCGAGUGAGACGUUGCACGGGUGAAAUGUUUCACCAACGAGACUCAAAGGAUAGUUAACAGUUAACGGCCAUGCGACCAUACCGUCAUCCUAUCCCGCACCAAUCGACCGCGAUGUGUACCCUCGCACCCUUUAUCCUCUUUUUCUCGCUUCGUCCUUCUCUCUCUCUGGUCGCUUACUUUUGAUUCGUUUGUUUUAUACCUUAGUAGGUGCCAAUCCAAGAUUCGUUCGCGUAUCGCGAGCGAACAGAUUUCUUGAUAAACGCGAAACGUUGAAAUCGAGACGAAAUCUAUAUAGGUCGCGGACUGAAAGGAUAUCGUUACGGAGAAGAUGCGUUAUCUUUCAAUUUAUUUACAUACACUGUACAUACUUGACGAUCAGUUCAUCGAGAUACACGCAUCGAGUACGUUCUGUGCAUGCACGCACGUAGCUAUAUAGUCUCUUAAAAAUAUCGCGAUUAUUGGAAACUAUAGAAUUUCUACACGUUUCUAUGUAUUUUUCCAACGACUAAUUAAUCGUAUAACUUCACGUUUCAAAAACUAAUCGAUCCUAGACUUGAAAACUAUUUAACUCGAGCGCUACGUUUACUUCGACACGAGAGAUUAUUUGUUUGCCGUUGAAUUUACGAGUCAACCCUGCAAACAGUUAUUAAGUCAAGUAAAAAAAAAUAAUCUUUCAAAAUAAUUGAGACAGAGAUCAACUAUCGUUUCCAAGCGAAAGUAGAUUUAGUAUACGUUUCAUACGUUCAUCUUUUCUAAACCAUUGUUCUAGAAAAUUUCGACUAUACAAGAUCCACUUUCUAUCAUAAGUAAAACAUUCGAAGGCAG